GCGGGAGUGCCGGAGUGGUCAAACGGGCAUGGCUAAGGACCAUGUAGCUUAGUGCUUGCGCAGGUUCGAACCCUGUCUCCCGCA
rnacentral:tRNA from 1 species